rnacentral:rRNA from 1 species
AGUGAACGCUGGCGGUAGGCCUAACACAUGCAAGUCGAACGGCAGCACAGUAAGAGCUUGCUCUUACGGGUGGCGAGUGGCGGACGGGUGAGGAAUACAUCGGAAUCUACUUUUUCGUGGGGGAUAACGUAGGGAAACUUACGCUAAUACCGCAUACGACCUACGGGUGAAAGCAGGGGAUCUUCGGACCUUGCGCGAUUGAAUGAGCCGAUGUCGGAUUAGCUAGUUGGCGGGGUAAAGGCCCACCAAGGCGACGAUCCGUAGCUGGUCUGAGAGGAUGAUCAGCCACACUGGAACUGAGACACGGUCCAGACUCCUACGGGAGGCAGCAGUGGGGAAUAUUGGACAAAGGGCGCAAGCCUGAUCCAGCCAUACCGCGUGGGUGAAGAAGGCCUUCGGGUUGUAAAGCCCUUUUGUUGGGAAAGAAAAGCAGCAGGUUAAUACCCCGCUGUUCUGACGGUACCCAAAGAAUAAGCACCGGCUAACUUCAUG